CCUACGGGUGGCAGCAGUGAGGAAUAUUGGUCAAUGGUCGGGAGACUGAACCAGCCAAGCCGCGUGAGGGAGGAAGGUACAGCGUAUCGUAAACCUCUUUUGUCAGGGAACAAAGGCGGGGACGUGUCCCCGGAUGAGUGUACCUGAAGAAAAAGCAUCGGCUAACUCCGUGCCAGCAGCCGCGGUAAUACGGAGGACGCGAGCGUUAUCCGGAUUCAUUGGGUUUAAAGGGUGCGCAGGCGGUCUUUUAAGUCAGCGGUAAAAGCCCGGGGCUCAACCCCGGCCCGCCGUUGAAACUGGCAGUCUCGAGUUGGAGAGAGGUAUGCGGAAUGCGCGGUGUAGCGGUGAAAUGCAUAGAUAUCGCGCAGAACUCCGAUUGCGAAGGCAGCAUGCCGGCUCCACACUGACGCUGAGGCACGAAGGCGUGGGUAUCGAACAGGAUUAGAUACCCGGGUAGUC
rnacentral:rRNA from 1 species